CGCGGCCUAUCAGCUUGUUGGUGGGGUAACGGCCUACCAAGGCGAUUACGGGUAGCCGGCCUGAGAGGGCGACCGGCCACACUGGGACUGAGACACGGCCCAGACUCCUGCGGGAGGCAGCAGUGGGGAAUAUUGCGCAAUGGGCGAAAGCCUGACGCAGCGACGCCGCGUGGGGGAUGACGGCCUUCGGGUUGUAAACCUCUUUUACCACCAACGCAGGCUCCGGGUUCUCUCGGGGUUGACGGUAGGUGGGGAAUAAGGACCGGCUAACUACGUGCCAGCAGCCGCGGUAAUACGUAGGGUCCGAGCGUUGUCCGGAAUUAUUGGGCGUAAAGAGCUCGUAGGCGGCGUGUCGCGUCUGCUGUGAAAGACCGGGGCUUAACUCCGGUUCUGCAGUGGAUACGGGCAUGCUAGAGGUAGGUAGGGGAGACUGGAAUUCCUGGUGUAGCGGUGAAAUGCGCAGAUAUCAGGAGGAACACCGGUGGCGAAGGCGGGUCUCUGGGCCUUACCUGACGCUGAGGAGCGAAAGCAUGGGGAGCGAACAGGAUUAGAUACCCUGGUAGCCCAUGCCGUAAACGUUGGGCGCUAGGUGUGGGGACUUUCCACGGUUUCCGCGCCGUAGCUAACGCAUUAAGCGCCCCGCCUGGGGAGUACGG
rnacentral:rRNA from 1 species